rnacentral:lncRNA from 1 species
GAAAACAGUGUUAUUCCGAAAGUUUUUGGGUUUCAAAGACGAGUUUGAGUAAGGAUGCGGUGACUUGGGAGAACUUUGCGAAACAUCAGUAUUAUUUUAGCACCAUAGACUUUGUAAAUAUAGGAAUCAUUCCCGAAACCCCAUAUACCAUGGCCUUAAUCAUCAUUUCAAUAUAAAUCCUCAGUAGUUUAUCUCAACAGUCAGCUCUGGCCUACGCAUCCUCUACGUAGGGGACCGAUGCAAAUAAGUGAAUGAUCCAGC